rnacentral:rRNA from 1 species
UACGUAGGUGGCGAGCGUUGUCCGGAUUUACUGGGCGUAAAGGGAGCGUAGGCGGACUUUUAAGUGAGAUGUGAAAUACUCGGGCUCAACUUGAGUGCUGCAUUUCAAACUGGAAGUCUAGAGUGCAGGAGAGGAGAAUGGAAUUUCUAGUGUAGCGGUGAAAUGCGUAGAGAUUAGGAAGAACACCAGUGGCGAAGGCGAUUCUCUGGACUGUAACUGACGCUGAGGCUCGAAAGCGUGGGGAGCAAACAGG